rnacentral:rRNA from 1 species
AUGAACGCUAGCGACAGGCUUAACACAUGCAAGUCGAGGGGUAACAGGGUAGCAAUACCGCUGACGACCGGCGCACGGGUGAGUAACGCGUAUGCAACCUGCCUAUAACUGUGGAAUAGCUCCCUGAAAGGGGAAUUAACACCGCAUAACACUAUUGAUUCGCAUGGAUUGGUAGUUAAAUGUAGCGAUACAGGUUAUAGAUGGGCAUGCGUGACAUUAGCUAGUUGGUGAGGUAACGGCUCACCAAGGCUACGAUGUCUAGGGGUUCUGAGAGGAAGGUCCCCCACACUGGUACUGAGACACGGACCAGACUCCUACGGGAGGCAGCAGUGAGGAAUAUUGGUCAAUGGGCGCAAGCCUGAACCAGCCAUGUCGCGUGCAGGAAGACUGCCCUAUGGGUUGUAAACUGCUUUUAUAGUAGAAGAAACACAUCUACGUGUAGAUGUCUGCCAGUAUACUAUGAAUAAGCAUCGGCUAACUCCGUGCCAGCCGCAGC